GAAUUUUGGACAAUGGGGGCAACCCUGAUCCAGCCAUCCCGCGUGUGCGAUGAAGGUCUCCGGGUUGUAAAGCACUUUUGGCAGGGAAGAAAAGGCUCUGGCUAAUCCCUGGUGCUGCUGACGGUCCCUGCUGAUUAAGCACCGGCUAACUACGUUCAAUCAGCCGCGGUAAUACGUAGGGUGCAAGCGUUAAUCGGAAUUACUGGGCGUAAAGCGUGCGCAGGCGGUUCGGCAAGAAGGAUGUGAAAUCCCAGGGCUUAACCUUGGAACUGCAUUCUUAACUGCCGGGCUAGAGUAUGUCAGAGGGGGGUAGAAUUCCGCGUGUAGCAGUGAAAUGCGUAGAGAUGCGGAGGAAUACCGAUGGCGAAGGCAGCCCCCUGGGAUAAUACUGACGCUCAUGCACGAAAGCGUGGGGAGCAAAC
rnacentral:rRNA from 1 species